rnacentral:ribozyme from 1 species
AAAAAAAAAAAACAAAAAAACGAAAGAAAAAAAACAAAUCCUACUGCCUUUAUUUUGGGUGCACUUUUUGUUUUACCAAAAGAGCGACAUCUUUGACAACAUAACUUUUUUACCCUGUUCUCUCCUGUAAGAUUUUUAAGCCAUGAAUCCUGAUUCUGAACCAAAGGAACC